AGCCACACCAGGCAGCUGUGUUUCAGCAAAAAGGCUGCCGGGCUCGACUCAUCGACUUCUAAGGGGCAGCCCUACUGCAGAUGGUGUUGCCAGGCACUUCUUUUCCCCUGCGAUGAGCAUGGAGGGUUCUGCUGUCACCACAGCUCCACUCCCGCAGUGCGGGCACCACAAACACCCAGUAGGAAUCACCAGUGCAGCAACAAUGAUGAGAACCCUCCUCUCUCUUCCUGUUCUUUUAACAGUGGUGGAAAGUAACUAAGUACGUUCACUCAGAGGGCACUGUUAGGAGAGAGCACAGAUCAUGAGUGUAUUCUGCCCAAGCUCCUUCUCCAUGAGGACACACAAGGAGAGGAAAAGAAAGGAUGAAAAAAG